rnacentral:rRNA from 1 species
CUUGCACCUGAUGGCGAGUGGCGAACGGGUGAGUAAUGCAUCGGAACGUACCGGAAGUGGGGGAUAACGUAGCGAAAGUUACGCUAAUACCGCAUAUUCUGUGAGCAGGAAAGCGGGGGAUCGCAAGACCUCGCGCUUCCGGAGCGGCCGAUGUCGGAUUAGCUAGUUGCGGGUAAAGGCCCACCAAGGCAACGAUCCGUAGCGGGUCUGAGAGGAUGAUCCGCCACACUGGGACUGAGACACGGCCCAGACUCCUACGGGAGGCAGCAGUGGGGAAUUUUGGACAAUGGGGGCAACCCUGAUCCAGCCAUGCCGCGUGAGUGAAGAAGGCCUUCGGGUUGUAAAGCUCUUUCGGCUGGGAAGAAAUCGCAUCUCCUAAUACGGGGUGUGGAUGACGGUACCAGCAUAAGAAGCACCGGCUAACUACGUGCCAGCAGCCGCGGUAAUACGUAGGGUGCGAGCGUUAAUCGGAAUUACUGGGCGUAAAGCGUGCGCAGGCGGUUUCGUAAGACAGAGGUGAAAUCCCCGG